rnacentral:rRNA from 1 species
UACGUAGGUGGCAAGCGUUGUCCGGAUUUAUUGGGCGUAAAGCGCGCGCAGGCGGUUCGUUAAGUCCGAGGUGAAAUCUCCUGGCUCAACUGGGAGGGGUCUUCGGAUACUGGCGGACUUGAGGAGAGCAGAGGUGAGUGGAAUUCUCGGUGUAGUGGUGAAAUGCGUAGAUAUCGAGAGGAACACCAGCGGCGAAGGCGGCUCACUGGGCUCCACCUGACGCUGAGGCGCGAAAGCGUGGGGAGCGAACCGG